rnacentral:rRNA from 1 species
CGGAGGGAUCAUUACAGAGUUGCAAGACUCCCUAAACCAUUGUGAACCUACCUUCUACCGUUGCUUCGGCGGGCGGGCCCAGCGCCCCCCCGGCCCCCCGCGGGCGCCCGCCGGAGGACACCCAAACUCUUGACAUUAGUGGCCUCUCUGAGUAUUCUUUACUGAAUAAGUCAAAACUUUCAACAACGGAUCUCUUGGUUCUGGCAUCGAUGAAGAACGCAGCGAAAUGCGAUAAGUAAUGUGAAUUGCAGAAUUCAGUGAAUCAUCGAAUCUUUGAACGCACAUUGCGCCCGCCAGUAUUCUGGCGGGCAUGCCUGUUCGAGCGUCAUUUCAACCAUCAAGCCCCCGGGCUUGUGUUGGGGACCUGCGGCUGCCCGCAGGCCCUGAAAACCAGUGGCGGGCUCGCUAGUCACACCGAGCGUAGUAGCAUACAUCUCGCUCAGGGCGUGCUGCGGGUUCCGGCCGUUAAACAGCCUCUGCGCUACACCCAAGGUUGACCUCGGAUCAGGUAGGAAGACCCGCUGAACUUAAGCA